AAGGCAAUGCCUGAGAGGAGCUGCAAACUCCGCGCCGGAGCCAGACACCAAAUAUAUCCAUUUUCUGCUUCUCCAGCAAGGCACCCAAGACGGCCUCCAGAGCCCUGGGUCCCUUCCCACCUGUGCCACAGGCUCUCCGCAGAUGCGUUCCAGGAGCCCAGGAUGCCAGAAGAUCUUUUGGAAGAAUGACAAGGAGCCUUUCAGGUUGACUUUGAAAAUGCCCCCAGGCUUUGAAAUGCCAGAUCCUGCCCUCCAGCAAACUCCUCCGACUCUGCUUCGCUUUUCCAAGAAACACCCAUUGUUCAUGAAGUCUAGUAAACCUAUCAGUCCCCGGGGCACCAUGCUAAUGCCAUGUCCUCCAAAAUCCUGUCCUGGUUUCAGCCUGAAAAGCUAUCCAGUCCUUAAAUUUUGUCAGCCUUUCACCUACACCUUCCUGGUGCUGCGGGGUACCGUCUGUUUCCUAUCACAGUUCUGCUCAGGGAUUGGGGGUAGGGGCUGUAUCUACAUUCUAUAACUCUCCCCACUUACAACAGAAGUUGCUAGUGUCCAUCAAAUAUUCCAUGUGUCCUCUAUUUUCCAAAUUCCCUUGCAAGACCUUAGGGUCAUAUGACUAGUUUGGGUCAACAAAUUAUAAGCAGGAGUGGCAGCUGUCACUUCUGGGCCAAGGGAUAAAAGCCAGUGUGCUUACCCAUCCUUCUCUUCCUUCCUGGAACUCUCACUGGUCACAUGUCCCCAGAAAGCUUCCAUCAGGGGCCCCUGAACGCCUAUGUGGGACAGACAACUCCCGGCCACCCUUGUUGGAUGUGUUACCUGAGCAAGAAAUAAACCUGUGUGCUGUUAAAGCUCUGGCAUUUCGGGACUGCUCUCACUUGAGGACAGUCUAGCUGAUCCUGACUGCUACACCACCACCCCCCUCCUUUUCAACCCUCUUUGCAGGAGACUUCGUACCUAGGAGAUAUUCAAUAUUCAAACGCCACAUGAACAAUAUACAGAAUUCU